rfam:Pongo abelii chromosome 9.
GCUGGGGAUGGUGGUGCACACCUGUAAUUCCCAGCUACUUGGGAGGCUGAGGCACCAGAACUGCUUGAACCUAGGAUGCAGAGGUUGCAGUGAGCUGAGAUCACGCCACUGCACUCCAGCCUGGGCUACAGACCGAGACUCUGUCUCAAAAAAAAAAAUUUUUUUUUUACUUCAUCAAGGACUUUUUUUUUGAGUCUUGCUCUGUUGCCCAGGCUGGAGUGCAGUGGCGUGAUCUCAGCUCACUGCAACCUCUGCAUCCUAGGUUCAAGCAGUUCUGGUGCCUCAG